rnacentral:lncRNA from 1 species
UUUCUUCGUUAUCCUUUUCUUUUGUCUUGGGAGGGUCAGAAUCAGGUAUGGCUUGAGUUUGUUCUGGGACUGGUCGGUCAAUAACCUUUCCACUUCGCAAAGUUAUUAUACUCUUCGCUUGUUCUUUAUGCGAAGUUGAAGAUGAUGCAUUGCUACCACCGUAGAUUUGAGGGUUAGGUUGUGGUUGAGCUGGUAGCUUACCCUUCUCUUGAGCACUUAAAGCAGUGGUCAGCAUUGUCAGUUGAUUUCUAAUUUCAUCAUUGAUUUUUGCUUGACCUUGCAUGAAAGAUUGCAAAGUUUCUUCGAGACUAGGUUUUUGAGGGGGUG